rnacentral:lncRNA from 1 species
ACUGUGCAUACUUGGAGAUGAUCUUUCUCAUUCUCAUCCUGCUAGUGGGACCUUCUGCCCUAUUCAAGUCUCAGAUCCAGUGCCCAUGUACAGCACAGCCAUGCUUGGGUUCUUGGGUAGGCAUGCAUUUCCAAUGUAGGACCUGGAAAUGCUUUACAGAACACUCAUAUUUUUAAGAGACUUUUUUUUUAUGCAGACAAUUUUUAAAGUCUUUAUUGAAUUUCUUACAAUAUUGUUCUCAUUUUAUGCUUUGGCUUUUUGUCUUCAAGGUGUGUAGGAUCUUAGCUACCCCACCGGGACUGAACCUGCACCCUCUACAUUGGAAGGUCAAGCUGGAACCACUUGACUGCCAGGGAAAUCCCCAGAACACUCUUAACAGCUCUCUGAGGUUGCCAUGGAAUGUAACAAUUCCCGAAGCUUUGUCCUGCUCACCUAUUCAUGUCUGCUGCCAAGGAAAAUGAAAUCCAACAAGGGAAGGUACUCUGCUGGGAAACUUUCCUGUAAGAGUGAAAAUGAUCACUUUCUGAAGCUCUACUCAAGACCACUCCAGAGGCAAGGACGUUUUAUGAAGAAAGACAUUAUCUCUCAGGCACAAAGCAUGGUGCUGGCGAAAGCAAAUUAUAUUCCAGUUGAAGCAUUUAAGAAUUUUUCAAGAAUAAUGAAAAAUCAGAAAGCUUCUGUGGU